UGAAGCGGCUCGUGACGACGAUGUGCAUCGGCGCGCCGGGCAGGAUUUUGUGCCUGUCCCAGAACUCCCCAGGAAUCCGCUCAAGCGGCCUCCUAGACGAAUGGAUCAAACAAGUGACAGACGCUUGGCCCUGACAGACGCCAGGGAGAGAGAGAAAAAACACAGAUUGCGAGCCAUCCCCUGAAGAGGAAAGUGGGAGGCGAAGUGUGCUUAUCAGCGAAGUAUCUCAAUGCUACAACCGUCGAAAAAAUCAGGACCAAAGUUUGUGGGACUUUUACAAUAGAGUCAUUAACCCUGUUACGGUUCGACUACCAGUUGCCUGAGGAUCUUAGGAUUCACCCAGUGUUCCCUUGUAGCCUCUUAAAACCUUACAACGAAUCACCGGGGUGGCACGUGGCACAACCACCCCCAGACCCUAUCACGAUUGAAGGCGGCUCGCACUUUGAAGCCAAGGAGAUUUUAGAUGCCGGAAAACACGAGGAGACGCACAAUUCCUCAUUCAAUGGAAGCAUUUUCCCAAGGCACAACGCGAGUCGCCUUCCGUGAAGUCUGAAACUGAUUUCCCCCCCCAGAGGGGCGGCGUGUCAGAAUCCUCGCGAUCCAUCAAGCCAUCGCCCUGCUAGCUCGCUUGCUUCGUUUCUGCCAUUACAGCGAAGGGGAGGAAGGGAGGUGAACCGUUAGGCGCAGACGGCCUGGUAUCUGGCUCCGCAGGAAUGCCCAGGGUCGUACCAGCGUGAGACCCGGAGAGAAUCGCUGACAUGCACAAGAGAGCUUCAGAGACAGAAGCAGGGGGGUGAAAUGGGAAUGAGGUAAAGCUAAGUUUUGGCACACGCGGGACUCAGUUCCAGCAAUGCUUUAGAGCUGUCUACUACUUUCCAGUAAAUGAACCUUUCUUCGAACCUG